rnacentral:misc_RNA from 1 species
UUUCCGUAGGUGAACCUGCGGAAGGAUCAUUAUUGAAUGAAACACUUCUGGCUUUAUGCUGUUGUGCUGGCCCUUAGGGCAAUGUGCACACGGCUCUGGUCACUUGUUUCUUCUGUUCCACCUGUGCACUGCCUGUAGACACGCUGUAUCUAUGAUAUUUGUUAACACACAACAAUGUUAGUUGGCAUGUUAUAUAUAAUAAUAAAAUAUACAACUUUCAACAACGGAUCUCUUGGCUCUC